rnacentral:rRNA from 1 species
CAGCCGCCACGGUAAUACGGAGGGGGCUAGCGUUGCUCGGAAUUACUGGGCGUAAAGCGCACGUAGGCGGCUUGGUAAGUUAGAGGUGAAAGCCUGGAGCUCAACUCCAGAAUUGCCUUUAAGACUGCCGAGCUAGCAGGUGAGAGAGGUAAGUGGAAUUCCGAGUGUAGAGGUGAAAUUCGUAGAUAUUCGGAAGAACACCAGUGGCGAAGGCGGCUUACUGGCUCAUACUGGACGCUGAGGUGCGAAAGCGUGGGGAGCAAACAGGAUUAGAGACCCGAGUAGUCCCUGUCUCUUAUAC